ACGUAAAAAACGCCUUUCGAACUUUGGGGCUCACGGAGGCAAUGAUAAAUGACCGAUACUUUUGGCAAUACAUCGUGCUUGAGUAGGAGACCAAUCAGGUCAAGUGAAAUCGUAGUCAUGGCAGAUAAUGGUGUCACGCAAUUGGCACCCGUGCUAGUGACACGUAAAAGCAGUCAUUACACCCUUGGAGUGGUUGGUGUUCGGAGGGGCAUCCAGAAACCAUGCCUAAUCUGGCUGGAAUCUGGUGCAGUCCCUCAGCUUACCAGCCCUGGUCAAACAGUCUAACCAAUGCCAGCAUGGAUAACGGACGUUAAAUGAUGAUGAUGAUGAAGAUGAUGAUGAAGAUGAUGAUGUCAAUGGAAUACGAACUGGGAAAUAACACUGUGUGAAGCAAGGGAUACAUAGUAAUCAUACAUCUCACCCAACAGUUACUGAGUCUGCACUCAAUAAGUUACACUUGAAAUAAAAGGAAGUUACAGAUACUUGAUGGAUAUCAAAUGAUAACUGUUCGAAGUGUUGUUGUCAGAUAUAAAAAGAAAACAUUUUUUAAAUGAUUUUCUCAUGAGAACAAAGAAGACUGUCCCUGCUUUGGAGAGAAAUGUUUGUUGAAUGAAUGAAAGGCAAAGCAGACCAGGCGGAUUCUGGAUUCAGAAACAGAAAGGUACCAAACUAAAUUCUU